rnacentral:rRNA from 1 species
GCGCAGUUCAUUUUGUGAAUUGAUUUCGUCCACAGGUCAAAAUAGUCAAAAUUGCCCUCUUUCUGCCCCUAGCCGUCCCUUCGAUCCAUCCAUCCAGUCGAUCCAGCCACCUCCGCGAUUUGCAAACCCAGCCAACCAGAGCCAGCACCCACUCGAUCCACCUCGCCGGUGCCUCCUCCUCCAAAUCUGAUCGGGAGAGGAGCUCCGGUUCUGAAGCUUCCUUGCGCCUGUGGUCCCGCGCGCCCCGUGCCCCGCAGCUGGCCCUGAUCCAGAUCGAGGCGAGCUCGUUCCCGUCUGCCGCUGGCGACCGAACCUGCAGCUAGAGAGAUGAGCUCGUUCCCCUCUCUCCCUUCUUCUCCUUCCUCUGGUUUUCUUUCUCAAUCCUCUAUCUCUUCUGUUGCCAUGGACAGCUGCUCGCCGCCGUGUUGAUCUGCCUCCGCCGGCGUUUGAAGUUCCCGUGGAGCCCGUAUAUGGCACCCCGCCCCCCCGGAUUCGCUCUUCCUUCGCCCGGUCCGUGCCCUGCCUCCAUUCCGCGCCGUUUUCGCUGUUGUCCCUGCGCGCUGACCCGAUCGCCCCGCCUCAUGGUCUGCCUUUGCCGCCGGAGACCAAGCAGCGCCGCCUCGCCUGCUUCCAGUCCCGCUCCUAUUGACCACGCCCCGCCUGCAUCACGCCUCUCCCGCCUUGGAUCCGGCCGCUCUUGCCAUCCCGCACCUCCGCGCCAAGUUCGCCGUCGCCGCUUCCCUGUGACCUCCAGGCGCCGCCCACAGCUCCCCUGCAUCGACCAAAGCAGCUCGGUCGCUUCCGUUGACCAGCUCCAAGUCGCCCGUGUAAGGCCUCCUCUGCUCGCUGGCCUCCAGCGUUGACCGAGCACCCGCACAGUCGCACGCAUGGGCCGCAUCCCGCGCCAAGCCCAGCCAGCCGGCCUGCUACCUCUUCCACCGAGCCGGGCUUUGGCCCAUGUGAGCAGUUUCCCCAGCCCAGUAUUGUUUUUUUAGGUUCAGCAAAUUUGUCUAUUUAACCAGAGACUGCUAUUUUUUGCAGAAAAACCCUCAUACUUCAUGCAUUUAAUAACUCUCAAACCGUGCAUCCAAAUUAAACAAACUUAAUAUGAAAUAUGACUAGAAUUUCAUCUAGUUUAAUAAUUUUCAACUUUCAUUCAUGUUUAACAUGUUUUAAAUGUUGUUUGUUUAAAUUUGCUCCAAUAACAUGCUAAAAUGAUUUAAUUCAUAACUUAUUAAUCGUAGCACUAAAUUUAAUAAUCUUUAUAUGUAAAUGGGGUAGAAAAAUGCCUAGUUUAACAUGGUGGCUUUACUUUGUAUGUUUAACAUCUCUAAAAUAUGGUUUAGGGCUGAAUAGUACCAAACCUAAAAUAUGCAUAUGGGGAUUUACCGGAAUUGUUGUUCGUUGUUUCUGGCCUCAUUUAAACUUGCCUAGUUAGGUAGUUUUAUUAUGCUUCACCCUCUUGCCAUAUUAAUCAACAUUUAAUCUUGUUAGGUAAAUAAACAAGAGUGAACUAAAUAAGUCAUGUGGUGUGAGGGAGUCCUGGAUUAGAGGGUGUCCGGAUGGCCGGACUAUACUUUUUGUCGGACUCCUGGACUAUGAAGAUACAAGAUUGAAGACUUCGUCCCGUGUCCGGAAGGGACUUUCCUUGGCGUGGAAGGCAAGCUUGGCGAUACGGAUAUGUAGAUCUCCUACCAUUGUAACCGACUUUGUGUAACCAUAACUCUCUCCGGUGUCUAUAUAAAUCGGAGGGUUCUAGUCCGUAGGACAACAUACAGAACAACAAUCAUACCAUAGGCUAGCUUUUAGGGUUUAGCCUCUUUGAUCUCGUGGUAGAUCUAAUCUUGUAUUACCCAUACCAUCAAUAUUAAUCAAGCAGGACG